CACGUAGGGUGCGAGCGUUGUCCGGAAUUAUUGGGCGUAAAGAGCUCGUAGGCGGUGUGUCACGUCGGCCGUGAAAACCUGCAGCUUAACUGUGGGCGUGCGGUCGAUACGGGCAUCACUGGAGUUCGGCAGGGGAGACUGGAAUUCCUGGUGUAGCGGUGAAAUGCGCAGAUAUCAGGAGGAACACCGGUGGCGAAGGCGGGUCUCUGGGCCGAUACUGACGCUGAGGAGCGGAAGCGUGGGGAGCAAACAGG
rnacentral:rRNA from 1 species